rnacentral:rRNA from 1 species
AGAGUUUGAUCCUGGCUCAGGACGAACGCUGGCGGCGUNNUUAACACAUGCAAGUCGAACGCUGAACCCGCUUCGGUGGGGGAUGAGUGGCGAACGGGUGAGUAACACGUGGGCAACCUGCCCCCGGCUCUGGGAUAACUCCAAGAAAUUGGGGCUAAUACCGGAUAUCCACCGCUGGCCGCAUGGUGUGGUGGUGGAAAGGGUUUCCGGCUGGGGAUGGGCCCGCGGCCUAUCAGCUUGUUGGUGGGGUAGUGGCCUACCAAGGCGACGACGGGUAGCCGGCCUGAGAGGGUGACCGGCCACACUGGGACUGAGACACGGCCCAGACUCCUACGGGAGGCAGCAGUGGGGAAUAUUGCGCAAUGGGCGGAAGCCUGACGCAGCGACGCCGCGUGGGGGAUGACGGCCUUCGGGUUGUAAACCUCUUUCAGCAGGGACGAAGCGCAAGUGACGGUACCUGCAGAAGAAGCACCGGCCAACUACGUGCCAGCAGCCGCGGUAAUACGUAGGGUGCAAGCGUUGUCCGGAAUUAUUGGGCGUAAAGAGCUCGUAGGCGGUUGGUCGCGUCGGCUGUGAAAACCCGGAGCUCAACUCCGGGCCUGCAGUCGAUACGGGCCGACUUGAGUGUUGCAGGGGAGACUGGAAUUCCUGGUGUAGCGGUGAAAUGCGCGAUAUCAGGAGGAACACCGGUGGCGAAGGCGGGUCUCUGGGCAACAACUGACGCUGAGGAGCGAAAGCGUGGGGAGCGAACAGGAUUAGAUACCCUAGUAGUCC